GUGCGUAGGGGUGAAGUCAAUUCGGUUUGGUCAGAUUUUUUGGAUUUUUGAAAUUGUUCAUCAUAAUUGGUUAGGUUGCCGGUUUUUUUUUAUAUUAUUUUUUUUUUGUUUUGGAUUUAGUCUUAUUUUGACAAAAUGAACUUUGUUUUAUAGCUUUUGAAUAUUAUUUGACGAAAUAUCAAAGUCUUUUUCAUAAAUAUUACUAAAAAGCAAAAAAAUUCAAAAAAAUUUAAAUUAUUUUCACUAUUUUAAGUAUAAAAU
rnacentral:lncRNA from 1 species